rnacentral:rRNA from 1 species
GAUGAACGCUGGCGGCGUGCCUAAUACAUGCAAGUCGAGCGAACAGACGAGGAGCUUGCUCCUCUGACGUUAGCGGCGGACGGGUGAGUAACACGUGGAUAACCUACCUAUAAGACUGGGAUAACUUCGGGAAACCGGAGCUAAUACCGGAUAAUAUAUUGAACCGCAUGGUUCAAUAGUGAAAGACGGUUUUGCUGUCACUUAUAGAUGGAUCCGCGCCGCAUUAGCUAGUUGGUAAGGUAACGGCUUACCAAGGCGACGAUGCGUAGCCGACCUGAGAGGGUGAUCGGCCACACUGGAACUGAGACACGGUCCAGACUCCUACGGGAGGCAGCAGUAGGGAAUCUUCCGCAAUGGGCCAAAACCUGACGGAGCAACGCCGCGUGAGUGAUGAAGGUCUUCGGAUCGUAAAACUCUGUUAUUAGGGAAGAACAAAUGUGUAAGUAACUAUGCACGUCUUGACGGUACCUAAUCAGAAAGCCACGGCUAACUACGUG